rnacentral:lncRNA from 10 species
CUGGUUUCCAGAUUUCCCCAGAGAUGAAAGGAAGGGGGCUUAAUGGUGAGAAGAGGAGUACCGAGGACAGAAGAUUCAAUUCAAGGACAUAUGGAAUAAAGUAAAACUUUAUCAGAUAUUUCCCAGCUGCUCCUAAUUAUACUCCAAUAGAAGAUGGAGCAGCUUAGCGGGGACAAAGAGUCAGACCAACAGGCUCACGGGCAGAAGAGAUUUGCCUUGCCUCAGAUGACACUUUGGACUGUGGACUUUUGAGUUAAUGCUGAUAUGAGUUAAGACUUUGGGGGACUUAGGAAGUCCCAUGUUGGGAAGGCAUGAUUGGUUUUGAUAUGAGAGGACAUAAUAUUUGGGAGGGACCAGGGGUGGAAUGAUAUGAUUUGGCUGUGUUCCUACACAAAUCUCAUCUUGAAUUGUAGAUCCCAUAAUCCCCAUGUGUCGUGGGAGGGACCCUGGUGGGAGGUAAUUGACUUAUGGGGGUGUUUUUCCUGUGCUGUUCUUAUGAUAGUGAAUAAGGCUCACAUGAUCUGAUGGUUUUAUAAAUUACACUUUCCCUGAACAUAAUCUCUUGCCUGCUGCCAUGUAAGCUGUGCUUUUGCUCCUCCUUUGCCUUCCACCAUGACUGUGAGGCCUUCCUAAGCCAUGUGGAACUUUGAAUCCAUUAAACCUCUUUAUCUUUAUAAAUUACCCUGUCUUAGGUAUUUCUUUAUAGCAGUAUAAAAAUGGGCUAAUACAGCCAUAACUCUCUUCA